AGGAAUAUUGGUCAAUGGACGAGAGUCUGAACCAGCCAAGUAGCGUGAAGGAUGACUGCCCUAUGGGUUGUAAACUUCUUUUAUACGGGAAUAAAGUUAGCCACGUGUGGCUUUUUGUAUGUACCGUAUGAAUAAGGAUCGGCUAACUCCGUGCCAGCAGCCGCGGUAAUACGGAGGAUCCGAGCGUUAUCCGGAUUUAUUGGGUUUAAAGGGAGCGUAGGCGGGUUGUUAAGUCAGUUGUGAAAGUUUGCGGCUCAACCGUAAAAUUGCAGUUGAUACUGGCGACCUUGAGUGCAACAGAGGUAGGCGGAAUUCGUGGUGUAGCGGUGAAAUGCUUAGAUAUCACGAAGAACUCCGAUUGCGAAGGCAGCUUACUGGAUUGUAACUGACGCUGAUGCUCGAAAGUGUGGAUAUCAAACAGGAUUAGAUACCCUGGUAGUCCACACAGUAAACGAUGAAUACUCGCUGUUGGCGAUAUACGGUCAGCGGCCAAGCGAAAGCAUUAAGUAUUCCACCUGGGGAGUACGCCGGCAACGGUGAAACUCAAAGGAAUUGACGGGGGCCCGCACAAGCGGAGGAACAUGUGGUUUAAUUCGAUGAUACGCGAGGAACCUUACCCGGGCUUAAAUUGCAACUGACUGAACCGGAAACGGUUCUUUCUUCGGACAGUUGUGAAGGUGCUGCAUGGUUGUCGUCAGCUCGUGCCGUGAGGUGUCGGCUUAAGUGCCAUAACGAGCGCAACCCUUAUCGAUAGUUACUAGCAGGUCAUGCUGAGGACUCUAUUGAGACUGCCGUCGUAAGAUGUGAGGAAGGUGGGGAUGACGUCAAAUCAGCACGGCCCUUACGUCCGGGGCUACACACGUGUUACAAUGGGGGGUACAGAAGGCAGCUACACGGCGACGUGGUGCUAAUCCCGAAAGCCUCUCUCAGUUCGGAUUGGAGUCUGCAACCCGACUCCAUGAAGCUGGAUUCGCUAGUAAUCGCGCAUCAGCCACGGCGCGGUGAAUACGUUCCCG
rnacentral:rRNA from 1 species